AUUAAAUAGGAUUAAACAGGUGUCGCUAUUGCGACUUAAUAGAGAAACCGGUUAAACGCCGGUGCGGUCCCGCCACUGUAAUGGGGAGCAAAGCCAUGAUUAUGCCACUGGGAACAAAGAUUUCUGGGAAGGUAUGGCAGCGUGAUGAUCCAAAGCCAGGAGAACUGCCUGUAUGACAAUCACCGU
rnacentral:ncRNA from 2 species